rnacentral:tRNA from 1 species
GCCUGAGUGGCUCAGUCGGUUAAGCGUCCGACUUCGGCUCAGGUCAUGAUCUCACGGUUCGUGGGUUUGAGCCCCGCAUCGGGCU